rnacentral:rRNA from 1 species
GAAGAAGUACCGUGAGGGAAAGUUGAAAAGAACCCCGGGAGGGGAGUGAAAUAGAACCUGAAACCCUAUGUUUACAAGCAGACAAAGAGCGUUAAGGCUCGAUGUCGUACUUUUUGUAGAACGGUCCGGCGAGUUAUUGUAUGGUGCGAGGUUAAGUACUAAGUAAGGUACGGAGCCGAAGGGAAACCGAGUCUGAAAAGGGCGAAAGAAAGAGUACCAUGUAAUAGACCCGAAACCGAGUGACCUAUCCAUGAGCAGGUUGAAGCUUGAGUAAAAUCAAGUGGAGGACCGAACCGAACUGGUAUCCGUUGAAAAGGGUUCAGAUGACUUGUGGAUAGCGGAGAAAUUCCAAUCGAACUCGGAGAUAGCUGGUUCUCCUCGAAAUAGCUUUAGGGCUAGCCUUGAUUAGUAGCGUGUGGAGGUAAAGCACUGAAUGUGUGCGGGGUCUUACCAGAUUACCAAACACUAUUAAACUCUGAAUGCCAUACGUGUAAGAUCAGGAGUCAGACAGUGGGAGCUAAGUUCCAUUGUCAAAAGGGAAAGAGCCCAGACCAACAGCUAAGGUCCCAAAAUUAUAGUUAAGUGGAAAAGGAUGUGGGAAUGCAAAGACAGCCAGGAUGUUGGCUUAGAAGCAGCCAUUCAUUUAAAGAGUGCGUAAUAGCUCACUGGUCGAGUGAGUCCGCGCCGAAAAUUACCGGGGCUAAACUAUAUACCGAAGCUUUGGAUUGUAUACUAAAGUAUGCAGUGGUAGAGGAGCGUUGUGUUAAGGAAGAAGCUGUACCGAAAGGAGCAGUGGACUGAUCACAAGAGAGAAUGCCGGAAUAAGUAGCGAGAGCAAGGUGAGAAUCCUUGCCGUCGAAAACCUAAGGUUUCCUGGGGAAGGUUCGUCCGCCCAGGGUAAGUCGGGACCUAAGACGAGGCCGAAAGGCGUAGCCGAUGGACAGCAGGUAAAAGAUUCCUGCACUACCGAUACGUAUUGAAUUAGUUGGGACACAUAAAUGGAGUCUGUGCGAGCAAAUGGAAAAGUUCGUACCGCAAGGUAUAGUGAAAAUAGUAGCGAAUCAGGUAAAAUUUGUGGCGAGAAAAGCAACUAAGGAGCGUAGAGGUACCCGUACCGCAAACCGACACAGGUAGGUGGAAAGAAAAUUUUCAGACGAACGAGAGAAGCAUUGUUAAGGAACUCGGCAAAUUGACCCCGUAACUUAGGGAGAAGGGGUGCCAACAGAGAUGUUGGCCGCAGAGAAUAGGCCCAAGCAACUGUUUAACAAAAACACAGGUUUCUGCGAAAUCGAAAGAUGACGUAUAGGAGCUGACGCCUGCCCAGUGCUGGAAGGUCAAGGGGAAGAGUAAUCGCACAAGUGAGAAGCUCUGAACUUAAGCCCCAGUGAACGGCGGCCGUAACUAUAACGGUCCUAAGGUAGCGAAAUUCCUUGUCAGGUAAGUUCUGACCCGCACGAAUGGCGUAAUGAUUUGGGC